rnacentral:rRNA from 1 species
UACGUAGGUGGCAAGCGUUGUCCGGAUUUAUUGGGUUUAAAGGGUGCGUAGGCGGCCUUAUAAGUCAGUGCUGAAAUAUCCCGGCUUAACCGGGAGGGUGGCAUCGAUACUGUAGGGCUUGAGUAAAGUUGAGGUUGGCGGAAUUGACGGUGUAGCGGUGAAAUGCUUAGAUAUCGUCAAGAACACCGAUAGUGAAGACAGCUAACUAAGCUUUAACUGACGCUGAGGCACGAAAGUGUGGGGAUCAAACAGG